UGAGGACACUGAGUCUUAAAGAGAAUGAAUCUUGAAGACCAUGAAUGAUUUGUUUUUGGCAGCUGCCCAGAAGAGCAUUUAUAUUUUAUUGAUCUGAUCCAACCUGUCUUGUGACUGCUAGCUGGAAUUAAGAUCCUUCAGAUUGUUGUCUCUAAUCGAGGAAACAUUGAUUGGAAACUACUCAUUCAGAAAAUUAAAAGAAAGAAACCAGAACAUAUUAUCAACCUUUGAGAACACAAUAUAACGAACUUUACCAUUUUACCACUUCUUUGAACAGGAA
rnacentral:lncRNA from 1 species